GGAAGCGUGGCAGAGCGGUUGAAUGCACCGGUCUUGAAAACCGGCAAGGGCGCGAGUCCUUCGUGAGUUCGAAUCUCACCGCUUCCGCCA
rnacentral:tRNA from 3 species